GUUUUCCUCCUUGACCCUGGAGCGUUCCUGUACUUACUUCACUCCUGUCCCUCACCGAAAACAGCGGUACUGGAGGAAUCAACCCCAUGCCCGCCAGUCACCGGGUUGUUUGAGGUCAUGGAUAAAUACAGCUGAAGCUCCUCUGCCCCGUACGUACGGCUAGCACGAGAAACUUACUGUAGUUUUAGUUUUAACAUUCUCCAUAGGUGACUUUAAACUUCAUUUCUUGAAAAUGGGUUCAAAAUAAGAAAACUGCCCUGGUUGCGCAGGGAUCACACCCGCAGCAGACGGCGCGCGCUGGCCUUGGCGGGCCGGGCGAGAGCGGCCUUAGGCGUUCACUCCCCUGCCUGCCUGCGCUCCACUCGAACCCAGCUUUUUCUUGGGCGAGUAUGCUAAGGGCCGAAGUUUCCGUGGAGAGCCGCCCCCACAGGCCCCGGGGGCUGCCAGGACCUCUGAGGCAGGGCCGGGGGCCAAGGGCAGGUCUGCCCGGAGGCGGCACGAAAACCUCUGCCAGGCUUUGGGAUUGGGAUGCAGGGCGCUCCAAGGAGACCCCCGCCCCUAGUUUCACCGAGAGGCCCAUCCCCGAAAGACUCCCAGGCUCGAUGAGACUCGAAGCCCACGGGGCGAAGGGCACCUGCCCGGGCGCCAGGAGGCCCGGCCCAGGGUCGCCGUGGCGCCCUUACCCACGGUGGACUUGCAGGCCUCGCAGAAGGUGUCGUCGGUGAAGCGCUCCAUCAGGCUGGUCUUGCCCACGCCGCGGGAGCCGAUAAUGAUGACCUGCAACUUGAAGUCGGCCGGCCUGGGGGGCUGCUUCCUCCGGCGGCCCUGGC
rnacentral:lncRNA from 1 species